rnacentral:rRNA from 1 species
GACUGCGGUAUGCUAUACAUGCAGUCGAGCGAAUGGAUUAGAGAGCUUGCUCUCAUGAAGUUAGCGGCGGACGGGUGAGUAACACGUGGGUAACCUGCCCAUAAGACUGGGAUAACUCCGGGAAACCGGGGCUAAUACCGGAUAACAUUUUGAACUGCAUGGUUCGAAAUUGAAAGGCGGCUUCGGCUGUCACUUAUGGAUGGACCCGCGUCGCAUUAGCUAGUUGGUGAGGUAACGGCUCACCAAGGCAACGAUGCGUAGCCGACCUGAGAGGGUGAUCGGCCACACUGGGACUGAGACACGGGCAUGAUGAUUUGGGGUCGCAGCCAUAGGGAAUCUGUCCGCCAUGGGACGUCAGUUCAGACGGCAGCCACCCCUGCUUGAAGGAUGAAGUCUUGCGGGUCGUAAAUCUCUGGUUGUUAGGGAAGAACAUGUGCUAGUUGACUAAGCUGCCACGUUGACGGUACCUAACAAGAAAGGCAAAGCUAGCUACAGUGCCAGCAGCUGCGGUAAUACGUAGAUGCCAAGCGUGAUCUGGAGUUAUUGGGCGUAAAGCGCGCGCAGGUGGUUUCUUAAGUCUGAUGUGAAAGCCCACGGCUCAACCGGUGGAUGGGUCAUUGGAAACUGGGAGACUUGAGUGCAGAAGAGGAAAGUGGAAUUCCAUGUGUAGCGGUGAAAUGCGUAGAGAUAUGGAGGAACACCAGUGGCGAAUGCGACUUUCUGGUCUGUAACUGACACUGAAGCGCGAAAGCGUGGGGAGCAAACAGCAUUAGAUACCCUGGUAGUACACGCCGUAAACGAUGAGUGCUAAGUGUUAGAGGGUUUCCAGCCCUUUAGUGCUGAAGUCAACGCAUCAAGCACUCCGCCUGGGGAGUACGACCGCAAGACUGAAACUCAACCGAAGUGACUGGGAUCCCGCACAAGCGAUGACACAUGUGGUUUAAUCCGAGGCAACAGCGAAGAACAUUAUCAGGUCUGGACAUCCUCUGAAAUGCCUACAGAUAGGGCUUCUCCUCCCGAAGCCGAUUGACAAGUGGUGCAUGGUUGUCCUCAACUCGUGUCUGCGAAAUAUUGGUUUAAGUCCCACACCGAAUGCAACCUGGCCUAUGGGAUCUUAGUUGCCGACCAACAUUACCCCGGGCAACCGAGAGAAGGCGACUCCUGCUGACACCCCCUAUCGGCAGGAAGGUGGGGAUGACGUCAAAUCAUCAUGCCCCUUAUGACCUGGGCUACACACGUGCUACAAUGGACGGUACAAAGAGCUGCAAGACCGCGAGGUGGAGCUAAUCUCAUAAAACCGUUCUCAGUUCGGAUUGUAGGCUGCAACUCGCCUACAUGAAGCUGGAAUCGCUAGUAAUCGCGGAUCAGCAUGCCGCGGUGAAUACGUUCCCGGGCCUUGUACACACCGCCCGUCACACCACGAGAGUUUGUAACACCCGAAGUCGGUGGGGUAACCUUUUUGGAGCCAGCCGCCUAAGGUGGGACAGAUGAUUGGGGGAAGUCGAACAAUGAGACGCC